GGAUGGAUGACAAGUCCACCGUCAAAAUGUUUUGGAAAAGUUGAACCUGAGUGAAACUCACUGCCAUCUUGCUCAUUGGAACUGAGGUGC
rnacentral:snoRNA from 1 species